AAACAGGCUUUUUUCAAAGCCAAUUGCAGUCAACUGAAAUUCUUUU
rfam:Alligator mississippiensis ScZkoYb_101.1, whole genome shotgun sequence.